AAGAAUGUGAGUACGUAGAAAUCUACACUCUGUCUUCUUCGCCCUCUCCUUGUCUUCGGUUUCAUCGAUCUUCAAAUUCUGAACUCUCAAGAGGGAAAAGCAAUUUCUCUGUGUCCUUUCUCUGCAGAUUCCUCAAAACUCUCUCUUUCUUCGUCUGCGCUUGACCUUAUUCUCUCUCAGCAAAAGCUCGCUAGGCUGAACUAGAAAUCGCUGAAACCAAUGGCGUCUUCACUUUCCACUUCUGCGUCUGCUUCGGCUUCAGCUUCAGCUUCAGCUUCAGCCGUCGCCAAAGCCACUGUCAAUUUGCCUCAUUACAAUACUUACGCACUCUCUAGGGUCUCCUUUCGCGUCUCUCCUACAUCCAAGACCAAGGGUUUGAAGCUUGGUCGCAGUUCCACUUUUGUGAAAGCCCAGUUGAAUGAGGUUGCUGUGGAUGGAUCCUCAAAUGCUGC
rnacentral:misc_RNA from 1 species